AGUGUCUAUCUACUGACCUCUGUAAGUACUCCACAGUCAGUGGCUGAAGAGAAGUAUAAUGCUGCAAAUCAGCGGCUGCUGUCGCAAAUAAAAAAUCCAAACCUCAACCUGCACCGUUGUUGGAAUACAGUUUUACAACCAUUCAGUUAACUUACCUCAAACAGCAGAAGAUGUGAGUUAGCGUACCAGAGAUGCGACUUGCAUAUGUGUUG